UCACUUUUGGAUGGUCCCGCGGCGUAUUAGCUAGAUGGUGGGGUAACGGCUCACCAUGGCAAUGAUACGUAGCCGACCUGAGAGGGUAAUCGGCCACAUUGGGACUGAGACACGGCCCAAACUCCUACGGGAGGCAGCAGUAGGGAAUCUUCCACAAUGGACGAAAGUCUGAUGGAGCAACGCCGCGUGAGUGAAGAAGGGUUUCGGCUCGUAAAACUCUGUUGUUAAAGAAGAACAUAUCUGAGAGUAACUGUUCAGGUAUUGACGGUAUUUAACCAGAAAGUCACGGCUAACUACGUGCCAGCAGCCGCGGUAAUACGUAGGUGGCAAGCGUUGUCCGGAUUUAUUGGGCGUAAAGCGAGCGCAGGCGGUUUUUUAAGUCUGAUGUGAAAGCCUUCGGCUCAACCGAAGAAGUGCAUCGGAAACUGGGAAACUUGAGUGCAGAAGAGGACAGUGGAACUCCAUGUGUAGCGGUGAAAUGCGUAGAUAU
rnacentral:rRNA from 2 species